rnacentral:rRNA from 1 species
GAUGAACGCUAGCGGCAGGCUUAACACAUGCAAGUCGAGGGGUAGAGGAAGCUUGCUUCCUUGAGACCGGCGCACGGGUGCGUAACGCGUAUACAAUCUACCUUUUACAGAGGGAUAGCCCCAGAGAAAAUUUGGAUUAAUACCUCAUAGUAUUUUCGGAUCGCAUGAUUUGAUUAUUAAAGUUCCAACGGUAAAGAUGAGUAUGCGUCCAUUAGCUAGAUGGUAAGGUAACGGCUUACCAUGGCAAUGAUGGGUAGGGGUCCUGAGAGGGAGAUCCCCCACACUGGUACUGAGACACGGACCAGACUCCUAC